rnacentral:rRNA from 1 species
UACGGAGGGUGCGAGCGUUGUCCGGAUUUACUGGGCGUAAAGAGCGCGCAGGCGGUCGUUCAAGUCGCGUGUGAAAGCCCCCGGCUCAACUGGGGAGGGUCACGCGAUACUGAUCGACUCGAAGGCAGGAGAGGGAAGUGGAAUUCCCGGUGUAGUGGUGAAAUGCGUAGAUAUCGGGAGGAACACCAGUGGCGAAGGCGACUUCCUGGCCUGUUCUUGACGCUGAGGCGCGAAAGCUAGGGGAGCAAACGGG